GGAGUCUGCAACCCGACUCCAUGAAGCUGGAUUCGCUAGUAAUCGCGCAUCAGCCACGGCGCGGUGAAUACGUUCCCGGGCCUUGUACACACCGCCCGUCAAGCCAUGGAAGCCGGGAGUGCCUGAAGUGCGUGACCGCAAGGAGCGUCCUAAGGCAAUACCGGUGACUGGGGCUAAGUCGUAACAAGGUACC
rnacentral:rRNA from 1 species